rnacentral:rRNA from 1 species
GACGAACGCUGGCGGCGUGCUUAACACAUGCAAGUCGAACGGAAAGGCCUCUUUCGGGGGGUACUCGAGUGGCGAACGGGUGAGUAACACGUGAGUAACCUGCCCUUGACUUUGGGAUAACUUCAGGAAACUGGGGCUAAUACCGGAUAGGAGCUCCUGCUGCAUGGUGGGGGUUGGAAAGUUUCGGAGGUUGGGGAUGGACUCGCGGCUUAUCAGCUUGUUGGUGGGGUAGUGGCUUACCAAGGCUUUGACGGGUAGCCGGCCUGAGGGGGUGAGCGGCCACAUUGGGACUGAGAUACGGCCCAGACUCCUACGGGAGGCAGCAGUGGGGAAUCUUGCACAAUGGGUGGAGGCCUGAUGCAGCAACGCCGUGUGCGGGAUGACGGCCUUCGGGUUGUAAACCGCUUUCGCUCAUGACGAAGCUUUGUGUGACGGUAGUGGGUAAAGAAGCACCGGCUAACUACGUG